UACGUAGGGUGCGAGCGUUAUUCGGAAUUACUGGGCGUAAAGCGUGCGCAGGCGGUUUUGUAAGCCAGAUGUGAAAGCCCCGGGCUUAACCUGGGAAUGGCAUUUGGGACUGCAAGGCUUGAGUGCGGCAGAGGAGACUGGAAUUCCUGGUGUAGCAGUGAAAUGCGUAGAUAUCAGGAGGAAUACCGAUGGCGAAGGCAGGUCUCUGGGCUGACACUGACGCUCAUGCACGAAAGCGUGGGGAGCAAACAGG
rnacentral:rRNA from 1 species